AUUGAACGCUGGCGGAAUGCUUUACACAUGCAAGUCGAACGGCAGCACGGACUUCGGUCUGGUGGCGAGUGGCGAACGGGUGAGUAAUGUAUCGGAACGUGCCCAGUCGUGGGGGAUAACGUAGUGAAAAUUACGCUAAUACCGCAUACGAUCUAUGGAUGAAAGCGGGGGAUCACAAGCCCUCGCGCGAUUGGAGCGGCCGAUAACAGAUUAGGUAGUUAGUGGGGUAAAGGCCCACCAAGCCAACGAUCUGUAGCUGGUCUGAGAGGAAGACCAGCCACACUGGAACUGAGACACGGUCCAGACUCCUACGGGAGGCAGCAGUGGGGAAUUUUGGACAAUGGGCGAAAGCCUGAUCCAGCCAUUCCGCGUGCAGGAUUAAGGCCCUCGGGUUGUAAACUGCUUUUGUACAGAACGAAAAGGUUUCUGCUAAUACUAGGAGCUCAUGACGGUACUGUAAGAAUAAGCACCGGCUAACUACGUGCCAGCCGCCGCCGUAA
rnacentral:rRNA from 1 species